UCCAGUCAAUAAUAAGUGCUGCUGUGAAGAGAACCAUCCUCACACUGAAUGCUGAACAUCAGCUACUUCCUGCUGCUGAUUUAAACCUUGUUGUAGAGAUGGAACAUUGGCUGUGGAUUAUUCUUGCUGCUCUCUCCUUUGAGUGUAAAGGACAAGACACAGUGACCCAGACAACAGGAGAAGUCAGCGCUACUGAAGGAGACACAGUUACAAUUGGCUGCACAUUUAAGACAACUGACACAAAUGACUAUCUCUUCUGGUACAAACAGCACGGAGACAACAGCCCCACAUUCAUCCUGAGCCGCUUUAAGAUCGGCACGGGGAAAACAGAGGACGAGGACAGAUUCUCAUCCACACUGGAUUCAAGCUUAAGAUCUGUUCCUCUGAAGAUCCAGAAGCUUCAGCUGUCUGACUCUGCUGUGUACUACUGUGCUCUGCAGCCCACAGUGACAGGAAACACCAACACUCUGUACAAAAACCUCUGGAGCAAAGACAACAGGAUACUGCACAACAUCCACCAGAGGGAGCCUCUCUCUGUUCACCUUCAGCAGGAUGUGAUGAUACAGUCUAGAUUAGAUUCUCUAAGACUCACAGCUGUGAUGAAGAGCUCCAGAAACUCAUUGGACAUCCGAGUCUCCUCCUGCUGA